CCCUUAGAUGUUCUGGGCCGCACGCGCGUUACACUGUUCGACGCAGCGAGUCUUAACCUUGACCGAAAGGUUUGGGUAAUCUUCAGCAAAGUCGAACGUGAUGGGGAUCGAUCAUUGCAAUUAUUGAUCGUGAACGAGGAAUUCCUAGUAAGUGCAAGUCAUCAGCUUGCGCUGAUUACGUCCCUGCCCUUUGUACACACCGCCCGUCGCUACUACCGAUUGAAUGGUUUAGUGAGAUCUCUGGAUUGACGCUGGCUAGGGGGCGACCCUUGGCCAGACUGUUGAGAAACUGCUCAAACUUGAUCAUUUAGAGGAAGUAAAAGUCGUAACA
rnacentral:rRNA from 1 species